UACAGAGGUCUCAAGCGUUGUUCGGAUUCAUUGGGCGUAAAGAGCGUGUAGGCGGCCUGGUAAGUCCGCUGUGAAAGUCCAGGGCUCAACCCUGGAAUGCCGGUGGAAACUGUCAGGCUCGAGUCCGGAAGAGGCGAGUGGAAUUCCUGGUGUAGCGGUGAAAUGCGCAGAUAUCAGGAGGAACACCAAUGGCGAAGGCAGCUCGCUGGGACGGUACUGACGCUGAGACGCGAAAGCGUGGGGAGCAAACAGG
rnacentral:rRNA from 1 species